rnacentral:misc_RNA from 1 species
UAGGGAGACCUAAUCCAUUUAGAAAUCGAAAGCAAUCAGUAAAUAGAUUCUCAACUGGUCUACUCUAGGUCGGUCGCAAACUUGAAGAACGUCUUUCAAACUAUGAUUGGGUUCAUUUAAGGAUAAUGUGCACCUGAAACUACGAAAAUAGUACAGACUGCUGGGUAAAUACCAGCCAGAACCUUGAAAACUGCAUAGUAACGCGAGGCAGUCAGUAGAAAAAACUGACGUUAAAAAAAGCCAAUGUAAAGU